GCAUAGUGACUGAUUUUAACUUGAAACUUGGUAUAUAAUGGACAAGCAAAAGUAAUGGAUAGCAUGAAAAAGACUAAACAUUCAUUUUUAUUGGCAAUAAUAAUAAUAUAAUGCUAUACAUUGUAUAUCUGCCAAUAUAAGUAUGAAACAGGUUUAGAGCAUGAGAAGGGGCACGCUAGUGAUGUAAAGUACCACAGUAGCAGGCGAACAGUGUGUAAGCUAGAUGUUCAUGGAAAACAACUAUAACUAAUACAAACAUACACAAUGAAGCCCUGAGCUAAAACUCCCACUACUCCUGGGCGGCAGAAAUGACUAUAGUACACAUCAUCCCCAAUACAUUCCAUAAAAACCAUAAAAAAGAGUUACUUGUGCACUACCCAAAAUCCCUAUGCACUUUUAAACAACUGAAGGUUUUUUAUAAUACAGUGAUUUAGUGAUACUAAAAAGUCAAAACCAAGGACUGAAAUGUGUUUAGGUGACAACUAAACUUUAUCUCGAAAUACAUUUCCAGAUGAUCCAGUAUACAGCUCCAGAACAGCUUGAUUGUGGACAUCUACUGUAAUGCAGAAAUUUCAGAUGUCAACUUUAACAAAAAACACACAGUAAAUCUUUACAAUUCUACUGAAAUAAGCAACUAUCAAUCAUAGCAGAUUAAAUAUAUAUGAUUUGAAUUAAAUUUAGAAUAAAACACACAUUUUUCUCGUACAUUUUUUUCCAAUGAAGCCUAUCAAUACAGUUUUAUCUAUUAAGUUUGAACAUUAUAGAACCCUAACCUAUUCUAACUUGCAUUUGAUAUUCUGUUUUAAUUAUAUUACGUAUAAUCUAUUCUAACUUGCAUUUGAUAU